rnacentral:lncRNA from 13 species
GUAACAGUGCAGUGUAGUUGAGUCAGUUGAGAGUAGUGGUCAUGGUCAGUGAUAGUAGUGUAAUACUUUGCAAGUGCCGUGUUCUUACAUGUAAUAUUUUUACAUUGAAUUGGAGUAUUUUGCAUAAUAUCGGAUCUCCGUGGAUAAAAAAAACCUUAGGAAAUUAUGGAAUAAUAAUGCCAAACAUUGGUAAAUUAGAACUUUUGGUUCAACGGCUACUACGAAGAUCGUAGAGUAUAAAGGAAAUUGUGGAAUAAUAUUGCCAAACAUUGGAAAUAAUACGAGAGCAAGCAUUUCAUAUUUUAUUGUUGACAGACCUCGCAUAUUUUAUUGUUAACAGACCUCGCGUAUUUUAUUUUAUAAUUUCUCUCGAAGAGGUGUAUGGAUGGUUUGUUUUAUGAACAUAUAUAAAAUAUGUUAGAUAUUGCUAAUUGAAAAAACUAUCAUUUACUUACGUUAAAAUUAAAAUUUUAGAAUAUACAAUCUCUAAUUAUUAUAGGCUUAUUUCUACAAAAAUGUAUGUAUUUUUAACUUC